GACGAACGCUGGCGGCGUGCUUAACACAUGCAAGUCGAACGAAGAGCGAUGGAAGCUUGCUUCUAUCAAUCUUAGUGGCGCACGGGUGAGUAACGCGUAAUCAACCUGCCCUUCAGAAGGGGACAACAGUUGGAAACGACUGCUAAUACCGCAUACGAUCUAAUCUCGGCAUCGAGGAUAGAUGAAAGGUGGCCUCUACAUGUAAGCUAUCACUGAAGGAGGGGAUUGCGUCUGAUUAGCUAGUUGGAGGGGUAACGGCCCACCAAGGCGAUGAUCAGUAGCCGGUCUGAGAGGAUGAACGGCCACAUUGGGACUGAGACACGGCCCAGACUCCUACGGGAGGCAGCAGUGGGGAAUCUUCCGCAAUGGACGAAAGUCUGACGGAGCAACGCCGCGUGAGUGAUGACGGCCUUCGGGUUGUAAAGCUCUGUUAAUCGGGACGAAAGGCCUUCUUGCGAAUAGUGAGAAGGAUUGACGGUACCGGAAUAGAAAGCCACGGCUAACUACGUG
rnacentral:rRNA from 1 species